UUAUUUUUGCAUUUAAACUGUUGACUGCGUUAAUUUAAUAUGUUUCUACCUGAAUGUCUGUUAUUAUUUCCAUAAAAGAGUAAUAAAAUCCGAUAUAUUUGCACAGUACCUACCGGGCUGUCCUUAUUUCGGGGCCCUGCUGUCCUCUUCGGGCUCUCCUUGCCCCUCUGGAGAGGGCUGCAGGCACUCGGAGGCUGCCGGCAGCCCGUGCAGAAGCAGCAGCGCUGUCCCCAGGGAUGCUGCUCGGAGAGGUUUCCCGCUCCGUGCCGCCAGGUACGCGCUGAUGAGACAGGACAUGAGCCAGGCUGAUUUUAGACAACUUCAUUUGCCUGUCAGAGAUCUUUGUAUUAAAGUAGCUUGAUGUUUAAGGACUGUUUGGAAGUGCUUGUGCCCGAAAACGUUAGCGCAGCCGGGCAGGUGGAGUUUGUUCAGAGCUGCACGUGUGCUUUCUGCUCUCUUUCUCCUUUCCUAUCUUUGCCAUGUGGUUUCCUCAUGCUGCGGGGUUUUUCCAGCGUUUUUCUGCGCUCCGUGAGUUGCUGUUGUCCCUUCCAGCCCCCGAGCCGUGUGGUGCUGCAGCCGGAGCAAGCACAGAUUGCUGCACGUGCAAAUGAGCCAGUCCUGAGGAGCACCCAGCGGGGAGGGGAUCACUUCUGCCCCUUUUCCUGCCGAACUCCAGAAGCUGCCGCUGAUUUCAGCCAGACACCGGCGGGCGAGCGCGAAGGCAGAGGGACGGGAGGAGGCGCGUGGUGCCACACAUCAGCAGAGGCAGCUGCCGGAGGGUAAAGCCUGGCAGUAGCAGAACUGACCAGACCCGUUAACGUGUGGAUGGAAACCAACCUAUGGUCAGCCAGUCGUCUCCCUGCGGUCCCUGGCUGUGGGGGAGGAAAGGACACCUGGCUGGAGGUGAGCAGCUGGCACCUUUUUAUUUAUUACAAGUCCAAAGGCUGACUGGGACGCAUGCAUGCCUUGUGUUGACCUCCAUCGGUGUGCUGUCAGGAUCCUGUGACCUGGGCGUUUUAUUGCCUGAAAAACACCGGUAAUCGUGUCUCACCCAUUGUGUG
rnacentral:lncRNA from 1 species